GGGGUUCUAACUCAAUGGUAGAGUGUGUGGUUUGUAUGCACAAGGCUCUAGGUUUAAUUCAUAGCACCA
rnacentral:tRNA from 1 species